UACGGGGGGAGCAAGCGUUGUUCGGAUUUACUGGGCGUAAAGGGCGCGUAGGCGGUCAGCACAGGUCAGUUGUGAAAUCUCCGGGCUUAACUCGGAAAGGUCAACUGAUACUGUGCGACUAGAGUGCAGAAGGGGCAACUGGAAUUCUCGGUGUAGCGGUGAAAUGCGUAGAUAUCGAGAGGAACACCUGCGGCGAAGGCGGGUUGCUGGGCUGACACUGACGCUGAUGCGCGAAAGCCAGGGGAGCGAACAGG
rnacentral:rRNA from 1 species